GUGAUCCUUGAAUAUCACCUUGGAUCCCUUUAGUCUGCAGGGCCUGUUCUCAUGUGCUUCUUUCAAGAAGGUCCCUGGAGAGACUGCAGUUUGCUCUCAAGAGGUCUGUGGUUGUAAUCUUGCUUGGUGCCCUGCUUUUUCCUCACCCCCAGCUGAACUCCACAAUCUCAUUCAUAGGCAGUGCAGCCAAGGGUGACCUCAGGCUCACAUCUCCAACAAGGCCUUCCCUGAGUAAGGUUGAGCAGCAUGCUGUUCCUUGUGGGAUCCUCCACUGCCUGUGACAGCAAGUUUUCAUGAAUGCUUUCCAUAAACAUCCUGUACUGUCUUGCUUCUCUAGCUGAUGGCAGGGAAGCUAAAGUUCCCCACAAGAACCAGGGCCUGUGACUCUGAGGUUGCUUUAUGUUGCCUUAGAAAGCCUUCUACUUCUCCUCCUGUUUAGGUGGCCUCUAGCAAACACCCACAGCAAUGUCAUCCUUCCUUGUCUGUCCUUUAAUUCUGACCCAUAAGCUCUGGACUCACUCAUCAUCUACCCCAGACAAAGCUUGACACAUUCUAAAUGUUGCCUAAUAUAGUGGUCAACUCUAUCAGUUGAGUUGGAGUUGACCAACUCUGAGGCACCCAAGGGAUAUGAAUGUCUCUCAUGGUAUCUGUUGGCCUUGUGCUACAGGCUAACUCUGUCUCUGGAAGAAAAGGAUCUGAGCCUCAGAACCCUGGAAGAAAACAACCUGGCCCAGAUCAAUCAGGUGUCUCAGCUUCGUUCUGCCCUUACCCAGGCUGAGGAGCUCCACUCAGAGCAUAGAAGAGAAAUGCAAGAGCUCAGCACCCAGAUCCAGGCCCUGCAGGACACACUGCUGCAGAUGGAGGCUUCCCAGGCAACUCGAGAGCAGCAGCUGCUGCAGGAACUGGAGGAGUCUCGAGCAGGAGAAUGUGCCUUGAGGGACUCUGUGGACGUGCUGGAGGCUGAGGUGUCUGAGCUGCGUGUGAGGCUCCAGAGCUCCGAGAACAGAGCAGAGACCUUGGCCAUACAGUGUCAACAGGCCAGUGAUGCCCACCAGGAAACUCAAUCCCAGCUGGACAAACUGCUGUUGGCUCUCCACCAGAUGAUCAGGGACAGCAGAGACUUGGUCACUUGGAGCUCUGAAGAGGGUCAUGUCAUGGGUCUAACUGCUUCUCAGGCUGGAGAUGUCCCUGCAGAGCUCACAGUGGACAGAGUGGCAGCAGCUCUGCAACACCUGCAGCAGCACCUGGAACAUUCCCAGAAAGAUCUGAAUGAUGCAAGGAACAAGAUACAGGCCUUGGAACUGGAGCUGAGCACAGGGCAGGAUCAGAUAGACAAUCUCAGAGCCAGCAAUCAGGAGCUGCAGAUACAGUUGCAUGAAAGUCAGACAGCAAUGUUGAGGGCAGAGCACCAGAAGACCUCUCUAGAAAAUGCCUUGAAGGAAGAGACCAUUGCCUUGCAGGAAGAGGCUGUGACUCUUCGUCAGGAGGUGGCAUCUCUGAAGAGGAAAUUGGAAAACCUGGAGAAGGAAAGGAAGGAUGUGCUGGUGAGAUUGGCAGAUGCCACAGAGGGCCAUUUCCUAGCUAUGUUUGGACCUUGUGUUAAUAGUUCUAAGGAACAGCUUUUUCCAGUUAAACUCUUCUAACUACAUUCUUCUGAAUAAGGAAGAAAAGAUGUUGUAGUCAUGCCAAAGCAAAUUAAUGCUAGGGCUGCUGAUUUUCCUCCAUGCUGGGCUUCUGUGCCCUAGAAGCUUUAGUUCUCAAUAUCCACAAUCUCUCUAUGGACAUUGCAUGGUUUGGGGAAUUCCUUGUGUCCAAACCCACGUCCAGAUUCCUAAAUAUAUGCAAGGGAAAGAGGGGUGAGUUGACCAAGUUUGCUGUUAAUAGAAAGGUGUUUGGCCUUGGCCAUCUGAGAGCAGCCAGUGGGGAGAGAAGAGAGGAAAGCCAAGUGCUGAUCCACACCAGGACGUGU
rnacentral:lncRNA from 1 species